rnacentral:rRNA from 1 species
AUUGAACGCUGGCGGCAUGCCUUACACAUGCAAGUCGAACGGUAACGCGGGGCAACCUGGCGACGAGUGGCGAACGGGUGAGUAAUGCAUCGGAACGUGCCCAGUUGUGGGGGAUAACUGCUCGAAAGAGCAGCUAAUACCGCAUACGACCUGAGGGUGAAAGCGGGGGAUCGCAAGACCUCGCGCAAUUGGAGCGGCCGAUGUCGGAUUAGCUAGUUGGUGGGGUAAAGGCCCACCAAGGCGACGAUCCGUAGCUGGUCUGAGAGGACGACCAGCCACACUGGGACUGAGGCACGGCCCAGACUCCUACGGGAGGCGGCAGUGGGGAAUUUUGGACAAUGGGCGCAAGCCUGAUCCAGCCAUGCCGCGUGCGGGAAGAAGGCCUUCGGGUUGUAAACCGCUUUUGUCAGGGAAGAAAUCUUCUGGGUUAAUACCUCGGGAGGAUGACGGUACCUGAAGAAUAAGCACCGGCUAACUACGUGCCAGCCGCCGCGGUAACAC